GAUGCUGUACAGCUGAACUGGCCUCAGGCUGCUGUGCUGAAGAAGACGUACCGGUCACUGUCUGUGAAAACUGGAACUGCACACCAGCAUAUCGUCCCCUGUGACGCAUGAUGUCACCUAGCAUUUAUAUAAAUAAAAGGUAGAAUCAGUUAAUAUAUGGAGUAAAAUAACACAAUAAUUAAUGCAAAUUAUAUACAUCAUAAAUAAUUAUUACCAGUAACAAUCAAGCAGUAGUGUUUCCUUCAAAUUCUGUCCUAACCAACGUCGUCGUAGCAUUUAAAUCAUCAGCUGGCAUAAAAUUGUAGGGCAUACAUUGUGUAUAAGUGUCAUCGUCAUCAUCCUCCACUUGGUUUUCCAUAUCAUAUAAGUCUCUAGAUUUUGUUUUGAUGACAGUAAAUCAAUCUUUAUUUUUUGCGUCUUGUACAUAAAAUACUUGACGAGCUUGAGAUGAAAAAAUGAAUGGAUCAUCCUUCAAUAACACACCAGUGUGUAUCAACCUUGAAAAAUUUACAAGUGUAAAUCCAUUUACAUCUUGUUUCAAACCUCUUGGUGAGUUUAUGUCUACCCAAUCACAUCUAAACAAUACUACUUUAAAUUUUUCAUAAUAAUCCAACUCAUAGAUAUCUUUAAGUGCACCAUAAUAGGAUUUUCCAUCCGCUUCCACCAUAACACCGCUAUUCUGUAUUUUUUUAAAUUUCUCCCGUUCUCUAGUAUGAAAUUUAAAGCCAUUAAUUAUGAAACCGUUAUAUCUAUUCACAAUCUUGUUAGGUCAUCGAGCAAGAGCUAUUAGUUCAUCUGAAUUAUUUCUCUCCAUCAUCUUUGAUACCUAAAAAAAAUAAUAUGAAGUGCUGUUGAGUUAUCUGAUAUUAAAUAUAUAUCAAAAAUUAAUAUAUCUCAUAAUUAAAUAUAAAUCACACCUGAUUCGAAAGCCACAUAGGGAAUAACUCGACCAACCAUCGCUGUUCAAUCCUUGCAUUAGGACGAAUGUUAUGAUUGGCUCGUCUCUGAUAAAUUAAAAAUUCACUGCAUAAAAUAUAAAUAUAUCAUUUAGAACAUUAUAUCUAAUAUAAAAUUUAAAU
rnacentral:lncRNA from 1 species